ACGCUCGACACCUACGGGCAGCAGUGGGGAAUAUUGCACAAUGGGGGAAACCCUGAUGCAGCGACGCCGCGUGAAGGAAGAAGUAUCUCGGUAUGUAAACUUCUAUCAGCAGGGAAGAAAGUGACGGUACCUGACUAAGAAGCCCCGGCUAACUACGUGUCAGCAGCCGCGGUAAUCUGAGCGGGCUGGCAAGGC
rnacentral:rRNA from 1 species